UCGUUUUCCCAGCUGAAUAGCAGUGAGAUUGUCCUGCUCACCCUGCAGUUAGCAGCAAGCUCCCCCUGACAUUCCAUCCUCUGAAGCCCCAGCAACCACCGGGGAGGAGGGCUGGCAGCUGAGGCCAUGCCAGAAGAGACCUGUUCUAGCUGGAUCCACACACUCCAGUCUCUGGGUCUAAAAUAAGACUCUUAACUUCUCUGCCAAUGAGCUUCACCAGGCCCGAUGACGUUAACGUGUGCUGUCAGCUCUAUUUGCAGGCAAGGUCCCUGUUCACCAGGAUUUCAUCCAGUCAUCACCCUGACCCGUCUCUGAUGCAAGAGGGCACUUCAAAAGAUGCAGAGUUCCUAAGAUAGCCAGUGGCCAGAGUGUGAACUUCCUAAUUAAGGAACCGCACAAAACCAAAAGUCACUUUCUGGAGAAACGAGUUCCUCUUCUCUGGGAACUGUGAGCGGCAGCCCAGUGGAGGUUUGGAAGCCUGCCACAGAUGGCCAAGAACAAAACCCAGGCCAAUCAGCAGGGCGGAUCUGAGCCCACAUCCAGAGAGGAGCUGCCUCACCACAGCCCUGCUGCUGCCACCAGCUGUCCGAGGAGCUACCUCCAGGGGCCGGGCGGGGAGCCCCACCUUCCUCAAACAAUGUCACAAAGUCCCUGGUAGUUGCUGUGCAACCUACCUUUCUUCACUCUCUGUGGUCAGACUCUGUUCUGACUCAGUGAAGAACAUUUGUUUCCACCUUGUCUGUUCCCAGCCACGUCAGUCACUCUCCCCAACUUCCACAGAGAGAAUCAGUGGAACCACCAGCCCCAGAUCCUCCAAGAGCAUACUCAGAACUCAGCCUGGAGCCCCAGUUCUUCCCUGGGCAUCUCUGCAGACAGGCCAAACCCACGUAUCGAAAGCUGAAUCCAUUAGCUGCCUCUCCAAUGUGACCCUUCCGUGUAUGACACCAGCUGCACUUGGGGCUGGGAGGUCAUGCUUGACUGCCUCCUCUCAUCUCCUACACCCAACUGCAAGCUUUCUGAGUUUUACUUAAUAACCAUUUCUCAAAUCCAGCUUCCAGAAUCCAGAGAUACGGCCGCGGUCCUAGGUUAAGCCUAAACCUGUCCUCUUCAUUAACCACCUUCCCCCUCUGCCAGGAGGGGCCUAAUACAUACAUCUAACUCCACUGUCCAGUGACCCCCCUGGCCCGCCCCCCAAGCCCCCCAGCAUGACCUUCAGGAACCGGUGUUCCCGUCCCCUGUCACCACAGUCACUGCCUGCAGUGUGGACCUGCUCUCGGCACCUGCCUCAUGAGGAUGCCUCCUGCCUCUGUGCUCUUGCUCAGGCCCCUCUCACCCCUUCGCCCAGCUAAUAACUAUGGCAUUGCCCAGGCAUCUUCUUCCUUUGCUUCUCCUCCUCCAGCCAGGCUACGUGCCAUUGCUCAGGGCUCCUAUAAUGCUCACGCACGUUUCUAUCACUGCAUCCAGUCCCUCAAAGCCAACCUGGGGGGACUGUGCAGUAUUUCUGCUCGUGGUCUCAGUACCCAUCACACACAAAGUGGUGCCUGUCACACCCAGUAGGCCUCAGCAGCUGGGAUUCUGCGUUGGCACUGCAGGACUACCGGCUAAUACCGUCCAUCACCACAGUGCAAUCAACACUUUAGUCUGAAUUAGAUCCGUUUUGGUGUUAUCUAUUUAAAGUAGACAGACGCCUAGACACCAAAGGAUUGUGUCUACGUAACAGAUUUUGUCUGGCAACUUAUGUACUUUGGGUACUUAAUGUGAUGGAGUUGACGAUGAUGACGAUGACAGUGACGUCAACCGUGACAGGAAACUGGAGAUGAUUAGACGUCCUUUUAUUCUCUGAGGCUGUGUAGUUGCUUAAAACGGUACACGAUGACUCACAGAAUGACAGCUCACUUGUCCCGAAACCUUAACUAACCGGAAUACAGCCCGGAACCUCAGUCAGACACUCAUCUGAAAAGCCAAAAGAUCAGCAAGUGCGCACGCGAGAGCUUAAAGAGAUCACUUUUUAGGGGCCAUCUGGUCUGCACUCAGAACCUAUUUGUUCUUCCUUUAACUCCACCUCCGAUCAUCUGCGCCAUCUCCGUCCUCAGUCACAGCAAGUCAGGUGUAAAAUGUGAGGCGGGUGAGGUGGAAAGAGGCUCCCAGGGACCAACACGGUGGUGGUGGCACAAGACUCACCAGGUGCAAAACGAGAGACAAACUUCAAAAGAAACAAAGUACACAGCAGUCUGGCAGUCUGGGGACAGUUCAUGUUUAAGGACAAUGAGUUCCACACAUGUUAGUAGACCCUAAUGACACAUCACACAUGAGAGGUACAGUAUUUACCCUCAUACUGAUGACUGAGAUAGCAAAAGAGAGCUGAAUUCUGUCCAAUAGUCUCUACUUGCAGGCAAAAGGAAGUGGGGAAUAUUUUAAGAAGGAUUUCUAUCAAAGUGUUUGGGUGUUUAGGGGCACCUGGGUGGCUCACUCAGUUAAGCGUCCGACUUUGGCUAAGGUCAUCGUCUCA